AUGCCUUACAUAUUGGGUAAUGGCUACUUCCCCUUUCUUCCUCUGCCAUCUUCCCAGCAGCCAUGGUUCUCAUACCACUACUCAUUGCGAGGUUCCCAGUCUGCCUUCCCUCCCCACUCUCACAGGAAUGCUGACUGGCAGCGCACAUGCCUUUUCCCGACAGUGCCAUGGCACCUCUCUAUAGGUGAGCGACGCUGCCAUUUCCUUCCGAGCGUGACAUAUUUUCUUUUUAAGUUAUUACAUGCUGAGUUACAGGUUGGUUUAGUCUAUUGUAUGAUGCCUCUAAUUCUGCUCCAUGCUCAAGUCAACAUGACACUUCUUCCCCCCAAUUUUUUCUUGAUUUAUUCUAUGUUAGUUCGGUUUGUCAUAUCAGGCCGAAUGAGCUGUCCACAUUUCUGUGUACAAAGGGUUAGUAUACAUCUACAUAAUCAGAUGCUGGAGGAAAUGUAG
rnacentral:rRNA from 1 species